rnacentral:tRNA from 1 species
GCACUUUGCAAAGCCGAGGGAGGCGGAUCACUUGAGGUCAGGAGUUUGAAACUGUAGCAGGAGAGGUCGUAGACAAAAUCCCUCAGACACCGGAUUGUGGAAGGAACUUCCAUGGAACUUGAGCCUUCGCACAGCGUAUUUUGGCAUCGAAUUUAAAGCUAGUAGAGGUCCGGAAGAUUCCCAGGAUUAAAGUCUUUAAACAGAAAGCGUGAAUCUUGCCUAAGUAAAAGGUACCAUCUCUGGGUGGGCUUGAACCACCAGCCUUUCGGUUCAAACAGCCGAAGGCACUAACCGAUGGCGCCACAGAGACUCUAAUGGUUUAGAUUUGCUGAUACCAGAAAUGGCAUUUUAACCUCUGGCCGUAGAUAAUCUCAUAUGUUUGUAGCCUGUCCAAUCCCGCGCACUCCAGAAACCCAGAACACGGGAGACAUUGAAGCCAAGAGUCGAGUCUUUGGGCACUUUGGACGUUCUACCCGGGCAGAGUCAGCUGGGGGACUCCAACGGCCAAACGGCCGCCUGCUCCUCACCGUCUGCUCUUCACUGGUUCCCCCGCCUGCUCUUCACCGUCUCAAAAGUCGCCGGCCCCUCUACAGGCGACAACUGCAGCUUCUCCGGCGGAAGUCACUCGCUUUCCCAUUCUUAGCCCCGCUUCACACCUUGAGCUCACAGUCAUUUCCGCCGGGCCUGGGCUAGCGGACGCGCGCGUGGGAAGGACCAGAACCCGUGGUGUCCUCACCGCGUCACCCUCGGGCCCUCAGAGGUGGGAUCCACCGGACAGGGACCUGGAGUUUGCACAGGCUGCAGCCCUUCGCCCAGAGCCAGCCUAGCACCUAGUAGGUGCCCAAUAAAUGCUUGGUGAAGGAAGGCAUUCCACCGCAGGGUUUUAGGAGAACCAUGAAUUCCCGUGUGAACGUUAAGCGUUUAGUCCUACUAGGAAGUCUGGAAUAUAGAGACCUGAACUGUUUCUCAAAGGCAGCUGUUCUUGUAUCCCCAGAGCCGGUUUAGAAUCCAGCAAAGGCCCCUGCCCGGUGGAUCCCACCUCUGGAGACCCGAGGAUAGUGCGGUGGGGGGCACCGCGGGUUCUUGUCCUUCCCACGCUCACGUCCACCGGCCCAGGCCCAAAGGAACUGGCUGUGGGUACAAGAUGUGAAGAUAGUUACAAAUACCAGCUAGUGCCAGUGCCAGUUGCAGAAAUCAGGACUUGUAAUAGUUAUGAGUAUUUCUUCAUUAUUUUGAGAUGAAUACAUUUGGGUGUAUAUUAACCAAAACUUUUCUUGAGAAUUCUCCUCUUCCAUCACCCUAGCUAGCACAUUCAUUAAUAAUUAACUUUUAGAAAUCUCAAUAUUUAGGUUACAGGAAAGCAAAUAUGGAAUGUGAUCUAUCUAGCUAAAAAAGGAGUGAACAUCAUUCAAAGACAAAGACUUUAUCCUGUUGGGGAAAGGGUUGGCAUAUUUUCACUGAAUGAGAAAAAGUAUGAUUUUCAUAUUGUCUUUAUUUGAACCUUAAGUAUGAUUUUACAAGGAGGAAAAAGGAGGAGGAAGAAGCAAAAGAAGAGGAAGAGGAGGAAAAAAAGAAGAGGAGGAAGAUGUACAUUGAUGCCACUUUGAGAAGAAGUGGACUGUGGUGGAUUUGUAAUGUAUCAGUUUUGCCAAGCUGAAUGCACAUUUCCCAGAUUUGCCAUCUUUAGAUAGCUCUAGGUUAGCCUGGGCAACAGGAGACACUUGGAAGAUAGAAUUCGAGUGGCUGUUACACUCUUUUGUAUACUGGGAAGGGCGUUGUUACAGCUCAGGCAUGAUCUUCAGCUUCCCUGACCCUUGGACUGGUGGGUGUUUUGCUUCUUGAUCUAACAUUAAGGUUAGAAGUUGCAGGAUUCCAGCAGGGUUUUGUCACAUCCAAUCUGGUUUAAGUUCUCAUAUUAUUAGGAAAGCUUUAGGGUGCUUCAGGAAAACGCUUUUUAAAAAAUCAAAUUUGGAAAAUAUCAAAUGGAAUUAUAGGCAAUAAGCAUAACCCAGUGGAACCAUGAAUCAAACCCUCUAGAGCAGGGUUGUCUAAAUUUUGGCUUCCUUGGGCCACACUGGAAAAAAAAAAAA